rnacentral:rRNA from 1 species
UGAGUACGAGAUGCUACGGCAUUGAAGCAGUCUAUGUCAUACUUCCAAGAAAAGCUUGCACUGUCAUAAACAAAGAAUGCCUGUACCAUAACCGACACAGGUGGGUAGGUAGAGUAUACUAAGGGGCGCGAGAUAACUCUCUCUAAGGAACUCGGCAAAAUGACUCCGUAACUUCGGGAGAAGGAGUGCCUUAUUUUUAAGGUUGCAAUAACAAGAUCCAAGCAACUGUUUAUCAAAAACACAGGUCUCCGCUAAGUCGUAAGACGAUGUAUGGGGGCUGACGCCUGCCCAGUGCCAGAAGGUUAAAGAAGUUGGUUAGCAUUCGCGAAGCUGAUAACUGAAGCCCUGGUGAACGGCGGCCGUAACAAUAACGGUCCUAAGGUAGCGAAAUUCCUUGUCGGGUAAGUUCCGACCCGCACGAAAGGCGUAAUGAUUUGGAUACUGUCUCGGAGAGGGACUCGGUGAAAUAGACUUGUCUGUGAAGAUGCGGACUACCUGCACCUGGACAGAAAGACCCUAUGAAGCUUUACUGUAACUUGAAAUUGAAAUUGGACUUUAGUUGCGCAGGAUAGGUGGGAGGCGUUGAGAAUAUUCUUGCGGGAGUAUUGGAGCCAUCAGUGAGAUACCACUCUUCUAAUGUUAGAUUUCUAACUUUGUAUCAUUAUCUGGUCAAAGAACAGUUUCAGGCGGGCAGUUUGACUGGGGCGGUCGCCUCCUAAAGGGUAACGGAGGCGCACAAAGGUUUCCUCUGAACGAGUAGAAAUCGUAUCUAGAGUGUAAAGGCAUAAGGAAGCUUGACUGUGAGACCUACAAGUCGAGCAGGGACGAAAGUCGGUCUUAGUGAUCUGACGGUGCUGAGUGGAAAGGCCGUCACUCAACGGAUAAAAGUUACUCUAAGGAUAACAGGCUGAUCUCCCCCAAGAGUUCACAUCGACGGGGAGGUUUGGCACCUCGAUGUCGGCUCAUCGCAUCCUGGGGCGGUAGUACGUCCCAAGGGUUGGGCUGUUCGCCCAUGAAAGCGGUACGCGAGCUGGGUUCAGAACGUCGUGAGACAGUUCGGUCCAUAUCCGGUGUAGGCGUUAGAAUAUUGAGAGGAGCCUUCUCUAGUACGAGAGGACCGAGAAGGACAUACCUCUAGUGUACCAGUUAUCAUGCCAACGGUAAACGCUGGGUAGCUAUGUAUGGAGUGGAUAACCGCUGAAAGCAUCUAAGUGGGAAGCCCACCUCAAGAUAAGUA